AUGAACAGCAUAAAGCAGGAACGUGCUGAAGAAGCUGUUGCAGAGGGAGGAAACAUCAACCUGACCUGUACAUAUGAUGGUUCUAUCUACAAUAUCCAGUGGUACCGACAAUACCAGAGAUCCAGACCAGAGUUCCUGCUCUACAUCACAGAGGGAGGAUCAGUUCAUCGAGCUGUGUCGGGAUUCUCAGCUCACAUUGACAAAACAGAGAAACGUGUAGAUCUGGAGAUCUCCUCUGCUGCAGUGACAGACUCUGCUGUGUACUACUGUGCUCUGCAGCCCACAGGAUUCAGACUGCUGCUGUCGCUCUGUUCAGCAGCAGGAAGUGAAACAGAGACGUGA